rnacentral:lncRNA from 1 species
GUUCAAAAUCACCUCUCAGAACACUUUUACACAGCACAAUCACAAAUCUUCUAAUCAAAAAACCUUUCGCUCAACACAAACAACGAUUUUCACAAUGCAAGGAGAUCCUAAAUUCACAAACGAAACAACCGAGAGCAUCGACCAAAACCGACUAAUCAAAGAAAUUCAAAAUACUAGAAGAUUCUUAUACGUACAUACCGUAAUUACCUACAAAUUUCCUAUUGGCAAACGAUUUUGUCCUAUGAAAAGGCGCUAAUUUCAACAUUUUAUGAGGAAAUGACGGUGCAUUCUACCUGCUUAGAUUUUUGGAAUUUAAUGUACUUGUAAAGAUGCCUAAGGUACAAAAUUAGUAUAAAUCUUACAAAAUCAAACAGAAAAAGAAUACGUAUUUGUAUUAGUAAAUAAACUGAGUGAUCAUUCAAAUAUGGCGCAACGAAUACGUCACGUCCGUCUCAGACGAAUCGCUCGCGCAACGUUCGUGCGUUGGGGAUCAUGCAAAAUAUUUUUGAAUAGCGAUUUGUUUGACGCAACUAAUUUGUUUAAUUUUAUUAGAAGAAGUAAAGACAAGUACAAAACAACAAUACAUUGAUAUUUUAUUUAAUUGAAUCUUUGCAUUACUAUUAUUGUUUAUUUUGUCUUGUAACUAAAGUUAAGUUUGAAAAAUUUUCAGAAUCCGAAAUUAUUUCGUGAAACGGAAAAUCAUAGAGGAGUGACAUUUCGAUGUUUUGCAGUUUUCGGCAAAAUAUUGACAACAUGUCCGUGUUUAUUUUGAUUAUUCAUAAUAUGUACUAUGAAUAGUGUGUAUUUUAACCACGUUUUAGUGGAUCGAGUGUAUCGCUGCCUUUGGAAUAAACAAACAUUAAGUUAGUAACAUGGAGAGAAAAUCGGAUUCGAAAAAGCAGGGUCAAUACUGAGGCGUGGAAUGAGGAAGAAUCGCAGUAACUCAAGCUGAGCGGUCGCUAGGGUCGCUAGGCGCAGGCGCUAAACCGAGCUGAGUACGACGCGUGGGUGGCGCCUACCGGCUGCAACUCAACUAAACAGAACCCGUCGCAUGGGUCAAUACUGAGGCGUGGAAUGAGGAAGAAUCGCAGUAACUCAAGCUGAGCGGUCGCUAGGGUCGCUAGGGUCAAUACUGAGGCGUGGAAUGAGGAAGAAUCGCAGUAACUCAGCCGAGCGGUCGCUAGGGUCGCUAGAUGCAGUAGAACGAAGAAGAAGCUGGCAACUUGAAUGCAAGUGUGCAUUAGAUGGCGCCACCAUAGCUUUGCCCGGACAAGAGUUUUGCUCUAUGAGAUUUGACUUCUAAUAUUAAAAUACUUGGACCGAUUCAGGGAGAAGAACGCGCUUUAUCAGCACACUCACGCUCCUUUGAAAGCAAAAGCAUAAUAUUAUUGUUAAUGUAUUUUUUUCUAGUAUGUAACUUGUAACGUAAUGUAACGUGUGUUGUCAUGUAACUACUGAAUUUUUGAUUGACAAAUAAGUUAUCAGUUAGUUAGUUGUAUUAGGUAAUUAAUUUAAUUGAAAUUGUGCACACAUGCUCCCGCAAUUUGGCAAUAUCAACAACGUUUAUUAAAGUUUUUCGAAUGCAUAUCGCAAAUGUCAGAAUAUUCUGUUCAUAAAAGUUAUGGAUUGUCAUGCCUUUUUCCAAUGACCCUUAUUUAGGGUAAAGUAACACCAAACAAAGUAUUUGUGAGACAGUUUAACCUUUUGGCCGCCAGAGACUUAAACGGAAAAUCGUGACCACGACGCCACUUUUAUGUUAGCAUAAUUUCUUUACCCAUCCUUAAUUUACCCCCGUGGCGUCAGUGGCACGGUUUUCCGUUGACGUCAUUUGCUGUAUUUGGCGUUCAAAAGGUUAAAAACAUAAAAUUUACCAUAAAUUAAGACCCAUAAAAUUGUAAACAUCUGCGGCGAUUUAUGAUGAUUGUGUUAACUAAACGUAACAUAAGCAUUUGUAAAUGUAAUCAAUUUUAGCAUAUUACUUACCAAAACUCACCUGUGCUAUUCCAUUUCCCUGUUAUCCCCAAUCGUGCUGGUAGCAGCGAAGUGCAAUGCUUUCUACCUUUCCCCAAAAUCUCAGUCCUGCGAGUGCGAGGUGCAAAAUGUAAGUAUUUAUCAAAAAGGGACGGCUGUUUCGCAGGCUAGAUAAUGUUUCCUCCUCUCUUGUACUAGGCCGACUAGUACUCCGAUGCACCUAUCUCCUCCUUCCUUAUAUCCGUAGCUAGUUAUCAGAAAAAUAAAAAAUAAAUCAUCCGUUUGUUUUUCUUAUGCAACAGGCGUUUAAAGGAGGUCAAAAAAGACAAGUGGCGUGGGUAACAAUUUGAGGCGAAGUAUUUUUUGACUCAGUUAAACACC